UACGUAGGGCGCGAGCGUUGUCCGGAAUUAUUGGGCGUAAAGAGCUUGUAGGCGGUUUGUCGCGUCUGCUGUGAAAUUUCGGGGCUCAACCCCGAACUUGCAGUGGGUACGGGCAGGCUAGAGUGUGGUAGGGGAGACUGGAAUUCCUGGUGUAGCGGUGAAAUGCGCAGAUAUCAGGAGGAACACCGAUGGCGAAGGCAGGUCUCUGGGCCACUACUGACGCUGAGAAGCGAAAGCAUGGGGAGCGAACAGG
rnacentral:rRNA from 1 species